rnacentral:rRNA from 1 species
GACAGAGGGUGCAAACGUUGUUCGGAAUUACUGGGCGUAAAGCGCGUGUAGGCAGCUUAGCAAGUCGGAUGUGAAAGCCCUGGGCUCAACCUAGGAAGUGCAUUCGAAACUGCUGAGCUAGAGUUCUGGAGAGGAAGGCGGAAUUCUCGGUGUAGAGGUGAAAUUCGUAGAUAUCGGGAGGAACACCGGUGGCGAAGGCGGCCUUCUGGACAGCAACUGACGCUGAGGCACGAAGGUCAGGGGAGCAAACGGG